GUAUAUAAAAUAUAUGAGGAUACAGUACCACUUAGGAAGCGGGGGAGUAAUGUGACCAUCAAGACUCAUUUCUUUUAAUAUUCUGGUUCUUCCCAAAUAACGUCUCCUCGCUCUUUGAAUUACCUUGGCUGUUUCCCUUGGCUGUUUUGACUAGCAAGCUAUUAAAGAAAUUUUCUUCUAUUCAGAAACAAACUCUUCUUUCUAAUUUCUGUGCUGAGCUUUCCAGGUUUUUAAUAUUUCCCUUCAUUAGGGUUUUCAUAAACAAUGUAUUAAGCUAAUGAUACUAAUGAUCUGUUCUCUCUUCUGCUUUUCAGAUCUGUGACAGGCUAGUUAAUCUUCAGUGGAAUAUGCAAAUAGAAUUUCUGAAUUUGGCAUGCAGGUAUCUGUGAGAGUGCUACAGUUUCAUUCUGCAGUGCGACAGGAAGUGGAGUUCUGUGAGCUGCCUAAACUGCAGGUGGGAUGCCACGGGUAUGGGGACAGUGACAGCACAGUACUGAUGUGUCUCUUUGUCAGCGGUAAAGCUGAAUCAGGGCAGCCUGUGUGCUGGGCCACCUAGCUCUUCCCUGCUGCUACUUGCCCUCGGGGGAAAUUACACGUGAAGUCCCUUGAAGAGCUGCCAGUGUCGUAACCAUGAAAGAGCAACGAGUCCCUCUGUGCUCCUGAAAACGCGCGCUCUUCGUCCUGGGACCGAGCAGCCACGCUGGGCCCGGCGCCCGCACGGCCCUGCCUCGCCCCAGCCCUGCGCCGGCUGACGGAGGCCCCCGGCUUGUCCCCGAGCAGCUGGCGCUGCAGAAGUGU